rnacentral:rRNA from 1 species
UGGGGAAUUUUGGACAAUGGGCGCAAGCCUGAUCCAGCCAUGCCGCGUGCAGGAUGAAGGCCUUCGGGUUGUAAACUGCUUUUGUACGGAACGAAAAGACUCCUUCUAAUAAAGGGGGUCGAUGACGGUACCGUAAGAAUAAGCACCGGCUAACUACGUGCCAGCAGCCGCGGUAAUACGUAGGGUGCGAGCGUUAAUCGGAAUUACUGGGCGUAAAGCGUGCGCAGGCGGUUAUAUAAGACAGACGUGAAAUCCCCGGGCUCAACCUGGGACCUGCAUUUGUGACUGUAUAGCUAGAGUACGGUAGAGGGGGAUGGAAUUCCGCGUGUAGCAGUGAAAUGCGUAGAUAUGCGGAGGAACAACGAUGGCGAAGGCAAUCCCCUGGACCUGUACUGACGCUCAUGCACGAAAGCGUGGGGAGCAAACA